rnacentral:rRNA from 1 species
AGGACGAACGCUGGCGGCGUGCCUAACACAUGCAAGUCGAGCGGUAAGGCCUUUCGGGGUACACGAGCGGCGAACGGGUGAGUAACACGUGGGUGAUCUGCCCUGCACUCUGGGAUAAGCCUGGGAAACUGGGUCUAAUACCGGAUAUGACCUGCUCUCGCAGUGGGGGUGGUGGAAAGUAUUUAGUCGGUGCAGGAGUCGGGCCCGCGGCCUAUCGAGUCUUGGUUGGUAGGGUAAUCGGCCUACGAAGGCGACGGACGGGUAGCCGACCUGAGAGGGUCGACCGGCCACACUGGGACUGAGACACGGCCCAGACUCC